rnacentral:rRNA from 1 species
GACGAACGCUGGCGGCGUGCUUAACACAUGCAAGUCGAACGGAAAGGCCCUGCUUUUGCGGGGUGCUCGAUUGGCGAACGGGUGAGUAACACGUGAGUAACCUGCCCUUGUCUUUGUGAUAAAUUCAGGAAACUGGGGCUCAUACCGGGUAGGAUCUCCUGCAGCACGGGGGGGGUUGGAAAGUUUCGGCGGUUGUGGAUGGACUCGAGGGUUAUCAGCUUGUUGGGGGGGUAGUUGAUUACCAAGGUUUUGACGGGUAGCCGGCCUGAGAGGGUUACCGGGCACAUUGGGACUGAGAUACGGCCCAGAAUCCAACGGGCGGCAGCGGUGGGGAAUAUUGCACAGUGGGCGGAAGUCUGAUGCAGAGACGCUGCGUGCGGGAUACCGGCCUUCGGGUUGUAAACCAAUUUCGCCUGUGACGAAGCGUGAGUGACGGUAAUGGGUAAAGAAGCACCGGCUAACUACGUG